rnacentral:tRNA from 1 species
GUCCUUGUAGCUUAAAUUAAAGCAUGGCUCUGAAGAGGCCAACAUGAAAUUAGCCUAUUCCAAAGACA